CACGUAGGGCGCAAGCGUUGUCCGGAAUUAUUGGGCGUAAAGAGUUCGUAGGUGGUUUGUUACGUCUGCUGUGAAAACCUAGGGCUUAACCCUGGGCUUGCAGUGGAUACGGGCAGACUAGAGGUAGGUAGGGGAGAAUGGAAUUCCUGGUGUAGCGGUGAAAUGCGCAGAUAUCAGGAGGAACACCGGUGGCGAAGGCGGGUCUCUGGGCCGGUACCGACGCUGAGGAGCGAAAGCGUGGGGAGCGAACAGG
rnacentral:rRNA from 1 species